AGUGAACGCUGGCGGUAGGCCUAACACAUGCAAGUCGAACGGCAGCACAGUAAGAGCUUGCUCGUACGGGUGGCGAGUGGCGGACGGGUGAGGCAUACAUCGGAAUCUACUUUUUCGUGGGGGAUAACGUAGGGAAACUUACGCUAAUACCGCAUACGACAUACGGGUGAAAGCAGGGGAUCUUCGGACCUUUCGCGAUUGAAUGAGCCGAUGUCGGAUUAGCUAGUUGGUGGGGUAAAGGCCCACCAAGGCGACGAUCCGUAGCUGGUCUGAGAGGAUGAUCAGCCACACUGGAACUGAGACACGGCCCAGACUCCUACGGGAGGCAGCAGUGGGGAAUAUUGGACAAUGGGCGCAAGCCUGAUCCAGCAAUACCGCGUGGGUGAAGAAGGCCUUCGGGUUGUAAAGCCCUUUUGUUGGGAAAGAAAAGCAGCAGGUUAAUACCCCGCUGUUCUGACGGUACCCAAAGAAUAAGCACCGGCUAACUUCGUG
rnacentral:rRNA from 1 species